UCAUGUGAGAUUACCCGCUGAAUUUAAGCAUAUUACUUAGCGGAGGAAAAGAAACUAACAAGGAUUCCCUUAGUAGCGGCGAGCGAAACGGGAAAAGUCCAGCACUGAAUCCCUCGUCCAUUGGGCGAUGGGAAAUGUAGUGUUUGGGAGUGUCCGUUAACUCGAAGCUAAACAGCUAGUCCAAGUCCGAUCUUUAAUGGGGCCAUUGCCCAUAGAGGGUGCCAGGCCCGUAGAGGCAGCUGUUGGCUUCGAGCGUGGGCGUCUCCUUAGAGUCGGGUUGCUUGAGAGUGCAGCCCUAAGCCGGUGGUAUACUCCAUCUAAGACUAAAUAUGACCACGAGACCGAUAGCAAACAAGUACCGUGAGGGAAAGUUGAAAAGAACUUUGAAGAGAGAGUUCAAUAGUACGUGAAACCGUUUAGGGGUAAACACGUGAAACUCGAUUCUAGUGCAGGGAGAUUCAGUAUUGGCCGCGGCGGUCGUGCCGGAUGUUUGGUGAGUCGGUUGUGCAAACUCUGGUUUCGGCUAGGGCGCGUGCACCAUUGCCCGUUCGGUAUUGUGCCGUUGCAUGUGCCAGUACGCACUUCUCCCUGCGUAUACUACGUCGCGACCGGUUGGUAUUAUGGGUGAUUGAAUUCACCUCGUGGGGACCUACGGCCCGUGUCGCAGCCUGGUUCGGUCUUAGCGUUCUUGUAAUGCGGACCGGCCAGAGGCAUGGUGUUUCCCGGAUCCCUCACCGACCGUAGCAAAUGAAGGUGGUAGCCCGCGCUACGUGCGCGUCCAUAGUCGCUUUCGGUCUUAAUGCGGUCGUGUUUGCCGGUCACCGAACGGGCUUGUCCCUUCGGCCUGUGCCACGUCGUGUUUGUAGGACCGAUCGAGUCAACAUUUGGACCGUGGCUUUACUUACACCAGUCAUGCGACGCUUUUGUAUCGGGCAGAUUACGUGACCCGUCUUGUAACACGGACCAAGGAGUCUAACAUCUAUGCGAGUGUUCGGGUGUCAAACCCCUGCGCGUAAUGAAAGUGAACGGAGGUGGGAACCCGCAAGGGUGCACCAUCGACCGAUCCUGAUGUCUUCGGAUGGAUUUGAGUAAGAGCAUAGCUGUUGGGACCCGAAAGAUGGUGAACUAUGCCUGAAUAGGGUGAAGCCAGAGGAAACUCUGGUGGAGGCUCGCAGCGGUUCUGACGUGCAAAUCGAUCGUCAAAUUUGGGUAUAGGGGCGAAAGACUAAUCGAACCAUCUAGUAGCUGGUUCCCUCCGAAGUUUCCCUCAGGAUAGCUGGAGCAGAACAGUUUUAUCAGGUAAAGCGAAUGAUUCGA
rnacentral:rRNA from 1 species